GAUGAACGCUAGCGGCAGGCUUAACACAUGCAAGUCGAGGGGCAGCGCGGGAUAGCAAUAUCCUGGCGGCGACCGGCGGAAGGGUGCGUAACGCGUGAGCGACAUGCCCGUUGCCCGGGGACAACCGGUGGAAACGCCGACUAAUCCCCGAUGGGAUAUUGUGCCGCAUGGCACGAUAUUGAAAGUUACGGCGGCGACGGAUUGGCUCGCGUCCGAUUAGCUUGUUGGCGGGGUAACGGCCCACCAAGGCUGCGAUCGGUAGGGGUUCUGAGAGGAAGGCCCCACACAAUGUGACUGAGACACGGCCCAUACUCCUACGGGAGGCAGCAGUGAGGAAUAUUGGUCAAUGGGAGGAAGACUGAGCCAGCCAUGCCGCGUGCGGGAAGGAGGCCCUAUGGGCUGUGAACCGCUUUUGACUGGGGGCAAUAAGGGCGUCGCGCACGUCCGAUGAGAGUACCAGGCGAAUAAGCAUCGGCUAACUCCGUG
rnacentral:rRNA from 1 species